CUCAGGACGAACGCUGGCGGCGUGCCUAAUACAUGCAAGUCGAACGGCUUUUCUAUGGAAGCUUGCUUCCACUGAGAAGAUAGUGGCGAACGGGUGAGUAACACGUGGGUAACCUGCCCAUAAGAGGGGGGAUAACAUCCGGAAACGGGUGCUAAUACCGCAUAGUUUUCUUGAUCGCAUGAUUGAGAAAGGAAAGACGGCCUUUGUGCUGUCGCUUAUGGAUGGACCCGCGGCGUAUUAGUUAGUUGGUGAGGUAAUGGCUCACCAAGACGAUGAUACGUAGCCGACCUGAGAGGGUGAUCGGCCACAUUGGGACUGAGACACGGCCCAAACUCCUACGGGAGGCAGCAGUAGGGAAUCUUCCGCAAUGGACGAAAGUCUGACGGGGCAACGCCGCGUGAGUGAAGAAAGGUUUUCGGAUCGUAAAACUCUGUUGUCAGAGAAGAACAAGUUGGAGAGUAACUGCUCCAGCCUUGACGGUAUCUGACCAGAAAGCCACGGCUAACUACGUGCCAGCAGCGGC
rnacentral:rRNA from 1 species